UCUGGCAAAGCCGGGAGGGGGGCGGUUUGCCCCCUCGCUGCCCGGGACAUCUCCAGUCGCCAGACACCCAGGGCGUCCCUCUCGGUCUCUCUCCGUCCCCAGGGGCUCUGUGUUUCAAUCCCUCCUCCACCGAGGUGACGGGCCGGACAGCGACAGAGUUCAACGGUGCAGAGUUCUGCAGGCAGACGCUGCCCCCCGGAUACAACGCUCACUUCUUCCCCCGCCCGACGCCCGCCGGCUUCACCUGCGCCUCCCUGUGCAGUGGGGGGGUGCCGGGCGCCCUCGGCUGCAAUGCAGGACAGUGCCGGGUGUCCCGCGCCGGCGCCCACUGCCGCUGCCCGGCGAGCGGCCGGUUCUGGUACUUGGGAGCGAGCUGCGAGGUGCAAAUUGACCGGGUCGGCGGCACCGUCAGCAUCGUCGUCAUCGCGGCCUUCGUGCUGCUCAAUGGCGCCCUCCUGCUG